ACAUUAUGCGGCCUGAUAGACAGGGACACGUCCGAACCAAUUCGAACCAACGGCAUAGUGGAAGCUUUCGCCACGUCUCUUCAUUUACAAUUCGCAUUUAUUCAAAUUCCACGCCACCGAGUUGUGAUUAAUAUACUUUGUCGCGGUCAGCCACGCUGCCAGUGGUCGAAAAGGCAUCGAAAAGAAGGUGGAGUUUGUUUAUCGUGAAAUUGAUUUGAUCGUGAAUUGAUAGAAUCGUUGUAAAUUGUAUUUUAAUACUUCUUCGCGCAACGAACGUUGCGAUGAGUAAAUAGUAAUCCGGCGGUGACUUUCGUUGAUGAAAAAUAAUUUUCGAGAGUAACUCUUUAAUGGAUAUAAAAUCCUCAUCCUAAGAUGUAAUUGAUCUCGAUUUGAAGUAUGAUUUUGGAUGAAUAGAAUUGUAAUAAAAUUAGAAAGACUUUCGAUUUCGAUAAUUCAAUGAUAGUUGCAAAGUUUGAAAUUGAAAAAAGAUUCGGUUUAGGCGAGCAAAGUGCGUGGUCCUAGUUUUCAGAGCACGUUAUCAGCACGAGCGACUGGUAACCAUAUUUCAAAGAGAUAGCUUCGCGAACGCAACAAGUUGCUCCAAAUGCAUGUAAUAGACGGUAUCUUAACGCGGAGAAACUGACACAAUGAUUAAUCAUUAAGAUUGCGUGUGACAAGUGAUAAAUGUAGCAAGAAUACAAGUAUAAUAUAUAACGCGAAAAGUGACAAACUUAACGACUGUUCGAACUUUAGUUUGUAUUUCGUAAUUCAAAAAGUAGAAAACACAGGAGAUCGAUAUCUUUUGUUUCAACAUUUUCUAUUGAUUUUGAUCUUGAGGUAAAGUAUGGAAUCGUAUUUAAUGAUGUACCCUCCUUAAAUGGCGCUGUGAUGGCAGCACCGUAUAUUUCUACAGUCAAGAUUGAGUUAUCUACAACUAACGCUCAGUGAAAGUAAACUUUCAAUUUUAUAUUUUCUUUUCCUUUAUAUUCGGUAAUAGAUAAUAACCAGACUGUGGAUAUUUCCACACAAAAUAUCCAUGAAGUAUAAUAAGCAUUAUAUUUGAGAAAUAAAAAAAAGAUAUUUAAAUUCUAUCCCCAGUAAUAAAACUCCAUUUAUUCACUUCUUCAAAAAAUUCUACUAAUUUCAAUCGUACUAAUUUCCUCGUGUUGAAAUAAUUUGAUAGAACGUGUUCCAUAAAAAUAAUUAAAAUUGAAUUAUUCGUAAUUAAUACUCCUCGGUCUGUGACCACGCGUGAUAAAAUCAAUUUCAACCGAUUGAAAAUGGAAGAAAGGAAACUUACCUCGCUGUCGAUCUUCUUGAACUCUGGGUCGUCCUCGUCCACCUCGAAGUAAAGUUCCGUGGACGUCACAGAGAUAAUACCAGGAGCCACGAUACCGGGCGCGAUCAAUUUUCCUUUCGUGCUGAUGUUCACGGGGCCUGAAGGAAUACAAUCUCGUUGUACCGAGUGUGCACGUAUACACACGUAUACACACGUGUUACGUAAUUUAAACGAUAGGGAACGGUCACACGUUCCGCUUCGUGCAUGCAAUAGUCGAGAAGGAAACGAAACGAGACGGGGAGAAAUGAAACGAAAUGGAGGAGGAGAUCUAACCUGUCAGAUCGUUAUCGAGGUCUCUGUCGUCCGACAACAGCUCACUGUCGUCCAUCAGAUCCGCCGACUGCAAUUGCUGCUGGUGUGCACGCGAGGCUGCGAGAUGCGCGUGAAACUCUUCACGCGCUUGAAGGAUCGCAUCCUCGGGUGCACCGUGUUCGAGGGCCGCCUUCAGUGUAGCUUCGGGAUGGCUCGAGCCUAGUGGAUUGUGCACGAAACGCUUACGUCUACGUGCAUCAUCCUCCCAAGCAUCUAGCUUCCAGUAUUCGGCCAACCUAACCGCGAUGCAAUCUUUUUUUAUAAACAUCUAUAACAUUUUUCGUGUAGAUUUUGAAAAAUAUGGAAAUGUUAAGGAUACCUUGUGAUUCAUUAUUAUUAUUAUUCCAAAUAUCUAGCUUUUUUAUUAGUAUUUAUAAAUUCGAUUCUUCUUUAACAUAAUCUUUUUGUAUUAGAUUUUGGAAAGAUUAAAUGCAUUGUAAUACAUCAUUAUCUAUCAGUAUUUGGUUAAUUUAAAUACAAUUCUUUUUUAAGUAUAUAUAAUUUUUUUGCUUCGUAAAUCUUUAGAAUUUUAAUGAUAUUAAUAUACGUUAUAAAUUUAAUAAUGUCUUGUAAUUUAUCAUUAUUAUCGUCGUUAUUCCAAUAUAUAUUUUCCAGUAUGAAUAUAAUUAAUAAUAAAAAGACUUCUUUUAUUUU